AUUGAACGCUGGCGGCAGGCCUAACACAUGCAAGUCGAGCGAGUGGCGGACGGGUGAGUAAUGUCUGGGGAUCUGCCCGAUAGAGGGGGAUAACUACUGGAAACGGUGGCUAAUACCGCAUACUAUCGGAUGAACCCAUAUGGGAUUAGCUAGUAGGUGGGGUAAAGGCUCACCUAGGCGACGAUCUCUAGCUGGUCUGAGAGGAUGAGAAGCCACACUGGAACUGAGACAGCGCCCAGAAUCCUACGGGCGGCAGCAGUGGGGAAUAUUGCACAAUUGGCGGAAGCCUGAUGCAGCCAUGCCGCGUGUAUGAAGAAGGCCUUAGGGUUGUAAAGUACUUUCAGCGGGGAGGCGUUACCCGCAGAAGAAGCACCGGCUAACUCCGUGCCAGCAGCCGCGGUAAUUC
rnacentral:rRNA from 1 species